GAGAAUACCAAGGCGCUUGAGAGAACUCGGGUGAAGGAACUAGGCAAAAUGGUGCUGUAACUUCGGGAGAAGGCACGCUGAUAUGUAGGUGAGGUCCCUCGCGGAUGGAGCUGAAAUCAGUCGAAGAUACCAGCUGGCUGCAACUGUUUAUUAAAAACACAGCACUGUGCAAACACGAAAGUGGACGUAUACGGUGUGACGCCUGCCCGGUGCCGGAAGGUUAAUUGAUGGGGUUAGCGCAAGCGAAGCUCUUGAUCGAAGCCCCGGUAAACGGCGGCCGUAACGAUAACGGUCCUAAGGUAGCGAAAUUCCUUGUCGGGUAAGUUCCGACCUGCACGAAUGGCGUAAUGAUGGCCAGGCUGUCUCCACCCGAGACUCAGUGAAAUUGAACUCGCUGUGAAGAUGCAGUGUACCCGCGGCAAGACGGAAAGACCCCGUGAACCUUUACUAUAGCUUGACACUGAACAUUGAGCCUUGAUGUGUAGGAUAGGUGGGAGGCUUUGAAGUGUGGACGCCAGUCUGCAUGGAGCCGACCUUGAAAUACCACCCUUUAAUGUUUGAUGUUCUAACGUUGACCCGUAAUCCGGGUUGCGGACAGUGUCUGGUGGGUAGUUUGACUGGGGCGGUCUCCUCCUAAAGAGUAACGGAGGAGCACGAAGGUUGGCUAAUCCUGGUCGGACAUCAGGAGGUUAGUGCAAUGGCAUAAGCCAGCUUGACUGCGAGCGUGACGGCGCGAGCAGGUGCGAAAGCAGGUCAUAGUGAUCCGGUGGUUCUGAAUGGAAGGGCCAUCGCUCAACGGAUAAAAGGUACUCCGGGGAUAACAGGCUGAUACCGCCCAAGAGUUCAUAUCGACGGCGGUGUUUGGCACCUCGAUGUCGGCUCAUCACAUCCUGGGGCUGAAGUAGGUCCCAAGGGUAUGGCUGUUCGCCAUUUAAAGUGGUACGCGAGCUGGGUUUGGAACGUCGUGAGACAGUUCGGUCCCUAUCUGCCGUGGGCGCUGGAGAACUGAGGGGGGCUGCUCCUAGUACGAGAGGACCGGAGUGGACGCAUCACUGGUGUUCGAGUUGUCAUGCCAAUGGCACUGCCCGGUAGCUAAAUGCGGAAGAGAUAAGUGCUGAAAGCAUCUAAGCACGAAACUUGCCCCGAGAUGAGUUCUCCCUGACCCUUUAAGGGUCCUGAAGGAACGUUGAAGACGACGACGUUGAUAGGCCGGGUGUGUAAGCGCAGCGAUGCGUUGAGCUAACCGGUACUAAUGAACCGUGGGGCUUAACCG
rnacentral:rRNA from 1 species